rnacentral:rRNA from 1 species
GACGAACGCCGGCGGCGUGCUUAACACAUGCAAGUCGAACGGAAAGGCCCUGCUUUUGUGGGGUGCUCGAGUGGCGAACGGGUGAGUAACACGUGAGUAACCUGCCCUUGACUUUGGGAUAACUUCAGGAAACUGGGGCUAAUACCGGAUAGGAGCUCCUGCUGCAUGGUGGGGGUUGGAAAGUUUCGGCGGUUGGGGAUGGACUCGCGGCUUAUCAGCUUGUUGGUGGGGUAGUGGCUUACCAAGGCUUUGACGGGUAGCCGGCCUGAGAGGGUGACCGGCCACAUUGGGACUGAGAUACGGCCCAGACUCCUACGGGAGGCAGCAGUGGGGAAUAUUGCACCAUGGGCGGAAGCCUGAUGCAGCAACGCCGCGUGCGGGAUGACGGCCUUCGGGUUGUAAACCGCUUUCGCCUGUGACGAAGCGUGAGUGACGGUAAUGGGUAAAGAAGCACCGGCUAACUACGUG